rnacentral:rRNA from 1 species
GAUGAACGCUGGCGGCGUGCCUAAUACAUGCAAGUCGAGCGAAUGGAUUAAGAGCUUGCUCUUAUGAAGUUAGCGGCGGACGGGUGAGUAACACGUGGGUAACCUGCCCAUAAGACUGGGAUAACUCCGGGAAACCGGGGCUAAUACCGGAUAACAUUUUGAACCGCAUGGUUCGAAAUUGAAAGGCGGCUUCGGCUGUCACUUAUGGAUGGACCCGCGUCGCAUUAGCUAGUUGGUGAGGUAACGGCUCACCAAGGCAACGAUGCGUAGCCGACCUGAGAGGGUGAUCGGCCACACUGGGACUGAAACACGGCCCAAACUCCUACGGGAGGCAGCGGUAGGGAAUCUUCCGCAAUGGACGAAAGUCUGACGGAGCAGCGCCGCGUGAGUGAUGAAGGCUUUCGGGUCGUAAAACUCUGUUGUUAGGGAAGAACAAGUGCUAGUUGAAUAAGCUGGCACCUUGACGGUACCUAACCAGAAAGCCACGGCUAACUACGUGCCAGCAGCCGCGGUAA